rnacentral:rRNA from 1 species
GGUGAAAGGCUUGCUGCCUGAAGAAGAGCUUGCGUCUGAUUAGCUAGUUGGUGGGGUAAGAGCCUACCAAGGCGACGAUCAGUAGCUGGUCUGAGAGGAUGAUCAGCCACACUGGGACUGAGACACGGCCCAGACUCCUACGGGAGGCAGCAGUGGGGAAUUUUCCGCAAUGGGCGAAAGCCUGACGGAGCAAUACCGCGUGAGGGAGGAAGGCUCUUGGGUUGUAAACCUCUUUUCUCAGGGAAGAACAGAAUGACGGUACCUGAGGAAUAAGCAUCGGCUAACUCCGUGCCAGCAGCCGCGGUAAUACGGAGGAUGCAAGCGUUAUCCGGAAUGAUUGGGCGUAAAGGGUCCGCAGGUGGCAUUGUAAGUCUGCUGUUAAAGAGUCACGCUCAACGUGAUAAAAGCAGUGGAAACUACAAAGCUAGAGUAUGGUCGGGGCAGAGGGAAUUCCUGGUGUAGCGGUGAAAUGCGUAGAUAUCAGGAAGAACAUCGGUGG